rnacentral:rRNA from 1 species
UACAUGGGGUGCAAACGUUGCUCGGAAUUAUUGGGCGUAAAGCGCGCGUAGGCGGUCUUUUAAGUCGGAUGUGAAAGCCCUCGGCUCAACCGGGGAAGUGCACCCGAAACUGAAAGGCUUGAGUACCAAAGAGGGUCGCGGAAUUCCCGGUGUAGAGGUGAAAUUCGUAGAUAUCGGGAGGAACACCGGUGGCGAAGGCGGCGACCUGGGUGGAUACUGACGCUGAGGCGCGAAAGCGUGGGGAGCAAACAGG